GGUUACUAGAUUUGGGAAGUGUAGGGGAUUGUCUCCGAAAGAUCGUCCAAACAUUUUAACAAGGAUUUUCAAAAUCAAAUUGGAUCAAUUGCUAAAAGAUCUGCGAGACAAUAAUGUUUUUGGUGAAGUAAAAGCAGCUUGGAGAAUUUUUAAAUUCCCAAUCCAUCAUAGAGAACCAUCUGUAAAAAGGUUAUCCUUUCAUCUGGAUGGCAAUCAAAAUGUCAUAUUUUCAGAUGAUGAUCCGAUUGAUGCAGUAGUUAACAGACCAACCGUAAAGGAAUCAAUAUUUUUAAAGUGGUUUGAAGCAAAUAAGGAAUUUCCUGAAGCAGGAGAGCUAACAUAUGCAGAAUUUCCUCUAAAGUUUGUGUGGAAUCAACAAUUGAAGAGGAAGAAAAAAAGACAAACUUCUGCAUUUUCUAUUGGCAAAAUUUUCUUUCUUCCUCCAGACUCUGGAGAGCAAUAUUAUCUUAAAUUGUUGUUGAAUGUUAUCAAAGGUCCAACAUCCUAUGAGGAUCUUAGAAAAAUAAAUGGUCAUGAUCAUAAGACUUUCAGGGAAGCGUGUUAUGCUAGGCUUAUUAGACGAUGACAGAGAGUAUGUGGAUGCUAUAGUGGAAGCAAGUAAUUGGAGAAUGCUAUCAUAUCUAAGGCAAUUAUUUGCUAUGCUACUUUUAUCAAAUUCAAUGUCACGUCCAGAGAUUGUUUGACAAUCAACAUGGCAUUUACUAUCAGAGGAUAUCCUUCAAGAGGAUAUCCUUCAUGAACAAAGAAGAGCUUUAGACAACCCAGAAGUUAACCUAACAGAUGAUGAUCUAGAAAAUCUUUGCUUGCAAAAGAUUGACCACUUUACAAAAGGUUGCGGAAGAAGUUUUCUUGAUUUUCCAACAAUGUCAAUGCCUGUUUAUAACGAGGAAGAGGUUGACCAAAAUAAUAGAUUAAUCUGUGAUGAAAUGAGUUAUAACAGACGAGCUUUAGCAAUGGAACAUCAACAAUUGGUUGGGAAUUUGACAGAUGAGCAGAAGACUCUGUAUGAAAAGAUAACAGCUGUGAAUGAAAACAAGGAUGAAUUUUUCUUUUUAUAUGGUUUUGGAGGAACAGGUAAAACUUUUAUUUGGAAUACUUUUGUCUACUGCCAUAAGAUCUAAAGGAGAGAUUGUGUUAACAGUUGCUUCUAGUGGAAUUGCAUCUCUUUUGCUACCAGGUGGUAGAACAGCUCACUCAAGAUUUGUAAUUCCACUAAAUGUAACCGAACAUUCGACAUGUAAUAUCAAGCAAGGUACUCCUUUAGCAAAUUUAAUUAUCAAGACAAAGUUGAUUAUCUGGAAUGAAGCACCAAUGAUGCAUAGAUACUGUUUUGAAGCUCUUGAUAAAAGUCUAAGAGAUAUUCUUAGCUUCAAUGAUUUUAAGAGAUAUUCUUAGCUUCAAAGAUUCAUCCAAUUCACAAAGACCUUUUGGAGG